rnacentral:lncRNA from 1 species
GGCACCCACGCAGGGCUUCUGGACCAGACACUCACAGUGGGACACUCUUACCUCCUCCAGGACUUAGAAGGCAUAUGUAACUAACCUUCCUGAGUCUCUUCCUGAGCCUGCCUCUGCAACUCGUGGUCACUGGCUGGAAGGGCCAUGGUGGAAAACGGCAUUUGUUCUGGAUGGUUCAGAUGGCGGCAUGUUAAUGAAGAGUCUCCCUGUGGAAGAAAUAUGCUGGCUAGCUGGUGGGAGACUCUGCAGUUGACCUUGAAUUCCCUUGACCUCCCGUGUCCAGACAAAGAUUUCCCACUCCGUGCUACUGCUGAAGUCUCCGACCAAUGAAGCAGACAAGGGAGAACCAAUCCCCCUCCCACUCAUUCUUCUGCAGCCAACAGCUGGAUUGAUCUCCAAACAGGUCGGAAGAGAUGCGUAAUUGAAUUAAAAGCAUAAU